UUUUGUACUGAGGCAGAAUCCAUUACGCGUCUGUUCUUUGACUGUUUAGUAGCUAAGAACGUUUGGUCCUGCAUUAAUGAGUUGUUUGGUGUUCAAAUUGGGACCGAUAUUGAAUCGGUGGCUAGACUGUGGGUCUCUAAUAAUCGUAACUCGACAUUGAACAUUGUUAGUUCAGUAGUACUUUGGUGUCUUUGGAAGUGUAGGAAUUCUAUGAUUUUCAAUAACACCACCUGGAUUUCUUUCAAUCAGAUACUGAGAUCCAUCUUAGACACAGUCAGGAAUUGGGUUGCCUUGUCUCCGGACUUGUGCAAGGAAAGACUAUUGGCCUUUGCAGCACAGCUCGCGAGAUUGCUUCUAAAACCGCCGUUGAUCACCUGUGGUUGA
rnacentral:rRNA from 1 species